GCCGGGAUAGCUCAGUCGGUAGAGCAGAGGACUGAAAAUCCUCGUG
rnacentral:tRNA from 4 species